ACCAAGUUGGUUACCAUGCUAUGAGGAGAGGCCCAUGUGGCAAGGAAUUUGGCCUCCUGCCUCAAGCCAAUUAGGAACUGAGGCCUUCUGCAAUAACGAAGUAAGUGAAGCAUUUGGAAAUGGAUCUUCCUUCUACAACCAACCUUCAUAUAAGCUCCCACUUAUAUGUAGCUCCCACUAAGUCUGACAGCAACAAAAUGAGACAUUCUAAGCCAGAACUACCCAGCUAAACCACUCCCAGAUUUCUGGACUCCCAAUCUACUCCAACAUUUACUAUUUUCUUGGACCUCUUUGAUGUGAUAGAAGAGGAGUCUCAAAAUCAAAUGUCUUCUGUGGCCAGGAAGAUGAACUAAAUGUACUAAGCAAAAUCAUUUGAGUAAUCAGGCAAUAGAGAGAAUGAAAAAUGCAAAAAUGCAAAGAGCUAUAAAGUGAUACCAUGCCAAAAUGUA